rnacentral:lncRNA from 1 species
GUCUCCUGGACGGAAGAGCUUCAGCUUAACCUUUGUAUUAUAAGAUCAGGCUAUUCUUUGUCGAUAUGCUGCCAUUUGAAGUUGAGCUUGCUGUCAGACUUCUGGAAGUAGAUCUAGAUCGGCUCUCCAACAUUCGAAAUUGCUCAGCUCACUGUAUUGCUCAACCCUUGUUGAAGGUAAUCCGAUCUCAAGUGGAAUCAUUGCUUCUGUUCCAUAGGCUAAAUUGAAUGAUGAUUCAGUCAUUGGUAUACAAAGAAUCGUUCGGUAUGCCCAUAAGAUCGGAUAUAGUUUUUUUAUCCAAAGACCUUUAGCUUCAUUCAGUCUAGUUUUGAGUCCAUACAGAAUUAUCCAGUUGGUUACUUCCACCUCUUCAUUGGAUUAUGGAUG